GUGUUGUGUUGUAAGGGCGCAUGGUGGAUGCCUUGGCAUAGUAGGCCGAUGAAGGACGUGAGAGGCUGCGAUAGGCCUCGGGGAGCUGCCAACUGAGCGUUGAUCCGAGGGUGUCCGAAUGGGGAAACCUGGCCGUCGUUGUGGGCGGUCGCCGUUAGAUGAAUUCAUAGUCUAAUUGGUGGUUACGCGGGGAAGUGAAACAUCUCAGUACCCGUAGGAGUAGAAAACAAUUGUGAUUCCGUUAGUAGUGGCGAACGAACGUGGAUGAGGCUAAACCGCGUGCGUGUGAUACCUGGCAGGGUUUGCGUGCGUGGGGUUGUGGGGAUGCACUUUGCAGGGUCUGCUAGUCCUGCGUUGUUUUGUGUGGGUGUAGCGGAAGUGGAUUGGAAUGUCCUGCCGUAGACGGUGAGAGUCCGGUACGUGAAACACCCGUGCGUGCAAUUGGUGUGUUGCCCGAGUAGCAGCGGGCUCGUGGAAUCUGCUGUGAAUCUGCCGGGACCACCCGGUAAGCCUAAAUACCUGCUUAUGACCGAUAGCGGAUUAGUACCGUGAGGGAAUGGUGAAAAGUACCCCGGGAGGGGAGUGAAAUAGUACCUGAAACCAUGUGCUUACAAUCCGUCAGAGCCCUUUUUUGUGGGGUGAUGGCGUGCCUUUUGAAGAAUGAGCCUGCGAGUCAGCGGCAUGUCGCGAGGUUAACCCGUUUGGUGGGGUAGUCGUAGCGAAAGCGAAUACUAACUAGUGUGUUUUUUAGUGGCAUGUCCUGGACCCGAAGCGGGGUGAUCUACCCAUGGCCAGUGUGAAGCAGAGGUAAGACUCUGUGGAGGCGCGAACCCACUUAGGUUGAAAACUGAGGGGAUGAGCUGUGGGUAGGGGUGAAAGGCCAAUCAAACUCCGUGAUAGCUGGUUCUCCCCGAAAUGCAUUUAGGUGCAGCGUCGUGUGUUUCCUCCUGGAGGUAGAGCUACUGGUUGGUUUAGCGGGACUAUCAUCUUAGCGACAUCAGCCAAACUCCGAAUGCCGGUGAGGUCAGAGCACGGCAGUGAGACUGCGGGGGAUAAGCUUCGUAGUCGAGAGGGAAACAGCCCAGAUCGCCGGCUAAGGCCCCUAAGGGUGUGCUAAGUGGAAAAGGAUGUGGGAUCGCGAAGACAACCAGGAGGUUGGCUUAGAAGCAGCCAUCCUUGAAAGAGUGCGUAAUAGCUCACUGGUCGAGUGGUUCUGCGCCGACAAUGUAGUGGGGCUCAAGUACACCGCCGAAGCCGCGGCAAUCACCUUUUUGGUGGUUGGGUAGGGGAGC
rnacentral:rRNA from 1 species